rnacentral:tRNA from 1 species
GGGCGGUUAGCUCAGCUGGUCAGAGCAUCUGCUUUACACGCAGGGGGUCGCAGGUUCGAGUCCUGCACCGCCCACCA